UACCUGGCGGCGUGCUUACCAUGCAAGUCGAACGGAGCUUAUUUGGAAAGCUUGCUUUUCGCUUAAGCUUAGUGGCGGACGGGUGAGUAACGCGUGAGCAACCUGCCCUAGAGUGGGGAAUAACACCGAGAAAUCGGUGCUAAUACCGCAUAAUGUCGGAGGACCGCAUGAUCCACCGACCAAAGGAUUUAUUCGCUUUAGGAUGGGCUCGCGUCCGAUUAGGCAGUUGGCGGGGUAACGGCCCACCAAACCGACGAUCGGUAGCCGAACUGAGAGGUUGAUCGGCCACAUUGGGACUGAGACACGGCCCAGACUCCUACGGGAGGCAGCAGUGGGGAAUAUUGGGCAAUGGGCGAAAGCCUGACCCAGCAACGCCGCGUGAAGGAUGAAGGUCUUCGGAUUGUAAACUUCUUUGAUUGGGGAAGAAAAAAAUGACCUACCCAAAGAACAAGUCACGGCUAACUACGUGCCAGCAGCCGCGGUAAU
rnacentral:rRNA from 1 species